CUUCGCUUUCUAAAUUGAAAAUCCAAAUCGACCUAGCCAUCAAAACCUAACAGAGAAAUAGAACUCUAGUAAGGCGAAAUAGUUUGAGAAGGAGAACAAACUCUUCUCCGGGAAGUCAUGGUAGUUGCCCUGAUUUUCUAGCAUUGUGAGAAUGAGUGUUCUGUUUGCUCUGGUUUACUUCUCCUUCCUAUCAAUCUCAUGUGCCCCAUCUUUCAACUAGUCGUGGAGUAUCUUAUGUGUGAUUAAGAAAUAAACUUCCUUCACCCACAAAAUCAGUUCACCUUUUGCAUUAGCAGGCGUGAGUAUUGGUUCGUUUGAAGGAUUUGGAUUGUUUGGGUAUCCAUCAGCAGCUGAAUUAAUCACCAGUUUAGGAGAAAUUAUGCGUUUGAGCGAUCAGACAUACCUCUAGAGGAGCAUUAUGUUCUAUGAUAACUUUCCCAUUCAAGGAUCCACCACUUCCUACAGAUCUCAAGGGAGAGCAUUUUUCUGCUUUGACGGGAACUCAUUGCAGGUAAAUUAGUUUAGUACCAUGUGGAUUCAUAUAAGAAGUAUAGUGCUUUUCGGUAUCCCACACUUUGAAUAUAUUUGUGGUUAACUAUGCAUGUUAUUUCUCGAUUUAGUGAAGCUAAUGUAAACAGUUUUAUUUGUGGAGUCAAAUCCCACUAGGUAUCAACAUUUCUAGGAUGAAGGAUGUAAUUGUAGAUGUCAUUAUCAAAUGGAAUGCAUUCCGGCUCUUGUCCUUUUCUGGAUACAUUUACUUAAACUCAAUGGCGUACAUCAAAUACAUCGAAAACUUAUUUUUAUAGAUUUGGAGUUUCUUGAUUUUUUUUAGUUGGAUAUAUAUUAAUUUGCCUGAUGCAUGGAGAAGGAAAUUGACCGCUGUUUUUUCUGCACUGCCCUGGAGCAUUUUCUAUCGACCUUCUUGGUUAUAAAUUUCAAAGAAUACCAUCCAUCAAGAUUCUCAGAAGGUAGGCUGGAGUAUAUCCGAGGUUAUUGUUGAUACUCUAAAGGAUGUGAGGAUUUCUUCUUCCGCAAAAUCUACCAUGGAUUUCCUCCAGUAGUUGUUACGUCAAUAAAUUUGAAAACGGUCAUCAAUGCAAAUUAAAAUAUGAAUGAAAUUGUUUCAGCAUCUCAAGGUCAAGGUAUAGUGAUCACAGAAGGUGCUAGGUUGGAACUGCUACGCAACUAAUUUUCAAACUCUAUAUCUUCUUAUUAAGUUUCACUGGGUUAAGUCUAAGGUUUCAGUUUUGUUUUGUUGAAUCUUGAUUCGUUCUAGCAGAUUUCUGUCUUCUUUCACUAGCAAGUGAUGAGAAAGCCAUGGGAACAAAGUGUCUUGUCACUUGCAAGUGGUGUAUCCUACUUGCAUCUAACGGAUGUUUCAUUCGGAGCCGGCUAGCUGCUAGCACUUCUAAUUAUGUUCAUCAAGAGAGAGCAACACCUAGUGUGUAUCAGGUAUAUAUAGAUGCUAAUGUUGAAGAUGAUACUCUUACUUAUCAGGUUCAUGAAAUUAGACACAAUGGGGGAUUGGCGAAGCUGGUGGAAGAUACCAACACCCUGUUAUUCCCAGGUUGUAUAGUGCACAGUUGACUAGCACUAUUGAAUUAUAUAAGCACAAGACAGUAAGUGGUUCAUUAAGAAAAGCUUUUGAUGAGCAAAUUGUUGGAUGUUAACUUUCUCGUAGGUCUAACAUUUGUUAAUUUGGAGUUGUGUUAUUUAUAACACUCUUUUUACAUCUGUAUGAACUCAUUGUUAAGGUACUUUAUAUUAUUCGAGUUAGAACUAGUUGAGCUUCUUAUCUAGUAUUCA